GAUGAACGCUAGCGGCAGGCUUAAUACAUGCAAGUCGAGGGGCAGCAGGACUGUAGCAAUACAGUUGCUGGCGACCGGCAACCGGGUGCGGAACACGUACGCAACCUACCCAAAACUGGGGGAUAGCCCGGGGAAACCCGGAUUAAUACCUCGUAACCUUUUUAAGUGGCAUCACUUGAUAAGUAUAGCUCCGGCGGUUUUGGAUGGGCGUGCGCCUGAUUAGGUAGUUGGUGCGGGUAACGGCCCACCAAGCCUGCGAUCAGUAACUGGUGUGAGAGCACGACCAGUCACACGGGCACUGAGACACGGGCCCGACUCCUACGGGAGGCAGCAGUAAGGAAUAUUGGUCAAUGGACGCAAGUCUGAACCAGCCAUGCCGCGUGAAGGAUGAAGGUCCUCUGGAUUGUAAACUUCUUUUAUGGGGGACGAAACCCGGAUAUUCUUAUCCGAUUGACGGUACCUCAGGAAUAAGCACCGGCUAACUCCGUG
rnacentral:rRNA from 1 species